GACGAACGCUGGCGGCGUGCUUAACACAUGCAAGUCGAACGGAAAGGCCCUGCUUUUGUGGGGUGCUCGAGUGGCGAACGGGUGAGUAACACGUGAGUAACCUGCCCUUGACUUUGGGAUAACUUCAGGAAACUGGGGCUAAUACCAGAUAGGAGCUCCUGCUGCAUGGUGGGGGUUGGAAAGUUUCGGCGGUUGGGGAUGGACUCGCGGCUUAUCAGCUUGUUGGUGGGGUAGUGGCUUACCAAGGCUUUGACGGGUAGCCGGCCUGAGAGGGUGACCGGCCACAUUGGGACUGAGAUACGGCCCAGACUCCUACGGGAGGCAGCAGUGGGGAAUAUUGCACAAUGGGCGGAAGCCUGAUGCAGCAACGCCGCGUGCGGGAUGACGGCCUUGGGGUUGUAAACCGCUUUCGCCUGUGACGAAGCGUGAGUGACGGUAAUGGGUAAAGAAGCACCGGCUAACUACGUG
rnacentral:rRNA from 1 species